rnacentral:lncRNA from 1 species
UCAUCGAUUGUUAUCCCUAUUUCUCCGUCAUCGAUCAAAAUCGCGGCUUCCCCUUCAUCGAUCGAAAUUUCUACUUCUCUUUCACCGUUGGAAAUCUCUGCUUCAACGUUCUCUUCGUUGGAAAUCGCUGCUUCAACUUUCGAAUUAGUUACUUUACCAUUCGAAAUCGCUCACGGAUUUCUCAAAACCUAAUACUUGAGAUCCUUGUUGCGGAAUCUCUUUCCGAUCUUCGCUACGAGGAACUAGACGGAGUCAAGGGAGUGGUCACAAUCAACUUCACCCUUCACCUUUGCGAGGAGGAGUUGAAACAUAAAGUUUCGUUUAGAGAUGUUUAUACCCGUGUUCAUAAGAAAAAGAAAAAAUAUGGAGAAUACGUCUCUCAACGAUUGAGUAGGGAUGUAAAUGGAUAUCCAUGGGGAUGGAUAAUAUGA